GAGGCUCAAGUCUUAGGAGAAGGCCAAAUAAAACUAGAAUUGUCUUCUGGAAACUUUCUUGUAUUAGAUAGAGUCUUUCAUGUUCCUUCUAUUAGGAAAAAUUUAAUUAGUGCAUCUUUAUUAGAUCAGCAUGGUUUUAAACUUGUUCUUAGUUCCAAUAAAGUUGUUAUUAGUAAACAUGGUAAUUUUAUUGGUAAAGGUUAUUUGGUUGAUGGACUUUAUAAG
rnacentral:misc_RNA from 1 species